CAUACCUUCAGGCCUUUUCAUGUAAGCAGUGUCCUGUGGAAACACAUAACCCUGUGGACAAUGUGUGAGGCACUGAUUUGUAGUUGUUUUUCCAUCGCAGUGAUGGAUUUGCGAUCAGCUACUCACGAUGUCUACUAGGUCCCUCUGGUGACCAACAGUGCACCAAGGCAGCAGUGGGGUUCUAAAGCCGGCUGGCAGCGGAACAGAAAAUCAUGAAAAAUUAACACGCCAACAGUACACACGACGUGACUGAGAAUUGCGUUCGCAUUGCUGGGGAGCUGACUGGAGAGCCGCGCGACAGUCACUAUCCCCUUUCCUUUUACCAAAGCGGAAUGCCCAUCGCCUCGGUUCGGCUUGCCGAUUCCUCCCUCCCAUUUAAAGCGGGGUUGCGAUGGGAACCCCAAACCCGGGGGUUCUGCACGAGGCACCGCCGCUGGCGGGGACUCGGGGACCCACCGGUGUAACAAUUGGUCACGAUUCUCUGAAAUAUGGAGGAAUGACACACCACCUUUUCCUACUCGAGACGCGGAGUCGGGAAUGGCAGACCUGUAGAGAAGUACAUAUGCCUCUACUAUCCACUGACUGGUCUGUGGACUCUGGCCACGCUUCCCGCACGUGACAUCUGACCUAGGUGUCACAGUGAACUCAGGCAUUCACAAGGCAAGGUUGCUGGCUUCUACUUGUUCAGACUGCUGUUGUGAUUCCUGCAAUCAAAAUGCUCAUCAGUAUGGGGUUGGAGAGAUGGCUCAGUACAAUUCCUGGUGGUGUGGAGCUGGUGCCUCUUUUGUGGAGUAACAGAGGAAAUGACAAUGAUUACUUAUGAGCCAUGAUUUGCCCACGGAAGGAGACUGAGAUAAGAACUGGGACAGGAUGACUCAGCAGACAGGGUUUCUCUUUGUAGCCUUGGCUGUUCUGGAAGUGACAACAUUCUAUGGCAACACAAAUUUCCAUGAUUUCCACAGCAAAGAUCGGAAGAUGUGUUUAAGAUUCUAGGUCGUUAUAGAUAUUACCUCUCCUUCCAUUUUCUAUGUCAAAGUUACAGGGCCAACUACAGGGGUGCAGGAGCAGAGUUUCACUGUGUGUCUAGAAGAAAGAAGAAACAAUGCUUGAGAAACAUGUAACAACAUAAAGAGUACAGUUUAUUCUGACUAGAGUUACUUUGUUUUAUCCUUUGAGGGAUUUGACACCUAUUUCUAAGUCUGACUCUACUAUGUCUUGCGUAAUUAGUACAGAUUUUGAAGCCCAUGUUUAUAGGUUUUAAUACCUUUUAUCAUGACUCCUUUAGUUCUUUGAGUACCAGUUUUCUUAAGUUAAAUGUUGGUUCUAACUUUAUACUCAGGUGUGUACAUAGGAAAAAACCCUUUCUAAGAAAUGGAAACGUGGGGGGCUGGAGAGAUGGCUCAGUGGUUAAGAGCACUGGCUGAUCUUCCAGAGGAUCUGGGUUCAAUUACCAGAACCUACAUGGCAAUUUCACAACUGUCUGUAACUCCAGUUCCAGGCGAUCUGGCACCAUCACACAAACACCCAUGCAGGUAAUACACCAAUGCACAUAAACAUAAAUAAAUCUUUUUUAAAAAGUAGAGGUGUCAUAGAGCUCUUUAAUUUACAAGGUAUUAGAACACUUUUCAUGACCAAA